UAGUUUGAUCCUGGCUCAGAUUGAACGCUGGCGGCAGGCCUAACACAUGCAAGUCGAGCGGAUGAGAAGAGCUUGCUCUUCGAUUCAGCGGCGGACGGGUGAGUAAUGCCUAGGAAUCUGCCUGGUAGUGGGGGACAACGUUUCGAAAGGAACGCUAAUACCGCAUACGUCCUACGGGAGAAAGCAGGGGACCUUCGGGCCUUGCGCUAUCAGAUGAGCCUAGGUCGGAUUAGCUAGUUGGUGAGGUAAUGGCUCACCAAGGCGACGAUCCGUAACUGGUCUGAGAGGAUGAUCAGUCACACUGGAACUGAGACACGGUCCAGACUCCUACGGGAGGCAGCAGUGGGGAAUAUUGCACAAUGGGCGCAAGCCUGAUGCAGCCAUGCCGCGUGUGUGAAGAAGGCCUUCGGGUUGUAAAGCACUUUCAGUCGUGAGGAAGGCAGUUGCGUUAAUAGCGUAAUUGUUUGACGUUAGCGACAGAAGAAGCACCGGCUAACUCCGUGCCAGCAGCCGCGGUAAUACGGAGGGUGCGAGCGUUAAUCGGAAUUACUGGGCGUAAAGCGCAUGCAGGUGGUUAGUUAAGUCAGAUGUGAAAGCCCGGGGCUCAACCUCGGAAUUGCAUUUGAAACUGGCUAGCU
rnacentral:rRNA from 1 species